GCACUGCUGACGAGUCCCAAAAAACAGGACGAAACAGCUGUCCAGUGC
rfam:Echinostoma caproni strain Egypt genome assembly, scaffold: ECPE_scaffold0001572